UACAGAGACCCCAAGCAUUAUCCGGAAUUACUGGGCGUAAAGCGCAAACAGCCGGUUGUAUUAGUCUGAUGUAAAAGCAUGGGGCCCAACUUCAUGAUCGCAUUGGAAACGGUACAGCUAGAGUAGAUAAGAGGAGAGCAGAACGUAUGGUGUAGGGGUGAAAUCCACUGAUAUCAUACGGAAUACCAAAAGCGAAGGCAGCUCUCUAGUGUCUUACUGACGGUCAAUUGCGAAAGCGUGGGGAUCAAAAAGG
rnacentral:rRNA from 1 species